rnacentral:rRNA from 1 species
CAGUCGCCGCGGGAAUACAGAGGGUGCGAGCGUUAAUCGGAUUUACUGGGCGUAAAGCGUGCGUAGGCGGCUUUUUAAGUCGGAUGUGAAAUCCCUGAGCUUAACUUAGGAAUUGCAUUCGAUACUGGGAAGCUAGAGUAUGGGAGAGAAUGGUAGAAUUCCAGGUGUAGCGGUGAAAUGCGUAGAGAUCUGGAGGAAUACCGAUGGCGAAGGCAGCCAUCUGGCCUAAUACUGACGCUGAGGUACGAAAGCAUGGGGAGCAAACAGGAUUAGAUACCCGCGUAGUCCCUGUCUCUUAUAA